AGGGCUGCGACCCAAACGGAGAGGGAGUGUGACGGGGGCGCGCGCCUCCCAACUUUCUUCCCACCUCCCGGCUCUCACCGCGGCGGUUUGAGAUCCAAGCCUGUAAUUCUCACGUCCGGAGGUGAGAAGGAGCCUUCGUGAUCUAAGCUCGAUUCCUGCCGGGGUAGCAACCGGACUGACGUCUGGAGGCGGGGAGGCUCCGCGUGACAGAGUGAUAACGCCCGGGGCGUAUGUUCUGCGGUCCGCGCGGCUGGGCGGGAGGCCCGAGAUAGGCAAACCAAAGAGCACAACCUACUGCCAGCCUGGAUGGGGCGCCAAAGUCCGACCCAGGGGGACACACCCCAAGCUGGGGACCGAGGCACCCACAGAUGGAUGACUGGCUGGAAGGAGAUUAGGUAGGUAGCAGAGUCCGUCCAUUUAUUCAUUUAGCAAGUAUUGAGCACCUGCUAUGUGCCAGGGGUUGUGGACAAAGCGAGGAAUUCCUGACACGAAAAACUAUGUUAAGAGAGGAGGCAGGGUGAGAGCACCCUUCAAACAAUCAAACACCUGUAUAAAUACAAACUGCUCUUCAGGGAGGAGCAGGGGUUUUGGGAGAAUUUACAGAAGCUUCUAGGCUGGUGUUGGGAAUCACAGGAGGCUAACUAGGCAAAGGGGAGAGGAAGUGUGUUUCAGAUGGAGAGAUUAGCAUGUAUAUAAGAACUCUGUGGAAGGCAGCAGAGCUCCUUUGAGGGAUGAAAAGAAACCCAGAAAGGGGGAAAUGGAAAGUUAGUGCUUAAUAGGUACAGAAUUUCAGCUGGAGAAGAUGAAACAGUUCUGGAAAUGGAUAGUAGUGAUGAUCACACAACAAUGUGAAUGUACCAAAUGCCACAGAUCUGCACACUUAAAAAUGGUUAUGUACAUUUUACCACAAAAA
ensembl:lncRNA novel transcript, antisense to SEC22C